CAGCCGCCGCGGGAAUACGAGGGGGGCAAGCGUUGUUCGGAAUUAUUGGGCGUAAAGGGUGCGUAGGCGGUUUGGCAAGUUUGGUGUGAAAUCUUCGGGCUCAACUCGAAGUCUGCAUCGAAAACUGCCGGGCUUGAGUAUGGGAGAGGUGAGUGGAAUUUCCGGUGUAGCGGUGAAAUGCGUAGAUAUCGGAAGGAACACCUGUGGCGAAAGCGGCUCACUGGACCAUAACUGACGCUGAUGCACGAAAGCUAGGGGAGCAAACAGGAUUAGAUACCCCAGUAGUCCCUGUCUCUUAUAC
rnacentral:rRNA from 1 species